GUGGGGAAUAUUGGACAAUGGGCGAAAGCCUGAUCCAGCCAUGCCGCGUGUGUGAAGAAGGUCUUCGGAUUGUAAAGCACUUUAAGUUGGGAGGAAGGGCAUUAACCUAAUACGUUAGUGUUUUGACGUUACCGACAGAAUAAGCACCGGCUAACUUCGUGCCAGCAGCCGCGGUAAUACGAAGGGUGCAAGCGUUAAUCGGAAUUACUGGGCGUAAAGCGCGCGUAGGUGGUUCGUUAAGUUGGAUGGGAAAGCCCCGGGCUCAACCUGGGAACUGCAUCCAAAACUGGCGAGCUAGAGUACGGUAGAGGGUGGUGGAAUUUCCUGUGUAGCGGUGAAAUGCGUAGAUAUAGGAAGGAACACCAGUGGCGAAGGCGACCACCUGGACUGAUACUGACACUGAGGUGCGAAAGCGUGGGGAGCAAACAGGAUUAGAAACCCGGGUAGUCC
rnacentral:rRNA from 1 species